AGAGUUUGAUCCUGGCUCAGGAUGAACGCUAGCUACAGGCUUAACACAUGCAAGUCGAGGGGCAGCAUGGUCUUAGCUUGCUAAGGCCGAUGGCGACCGGCGCACGGGUGAGUAACACGUAUCCAACCUGCCGUCUACUCUUGGACAGCCUUCUGAAAGGAAGAUUAAUACAAGAUGGCAUCAUGAGUCCGCAUGUUCACAUGAUUAAAGGUAUUCCGGUAGACGAUGGGGAUGCGUUCCAUUAGAUAGUAGGCGGGGUAACGGCCCACCUAGUCUUCGAUGGAUAGGGGUUCUGAGAGGAAGGUCCCCCACAUUGGAACUGAGACACGGUCCAAACUCCUACGGGAGGCAGCAGUGAGGAAUAUUGGUCAAUGGGCGCUAGCCUGAACCAGCCAAGUAGCGUGAAGGAUGAAGGCUCUAUGGGUCGUAAACUUCUUUUAUAUAAGAAUAAAGUGCAGUAUGUAUACUGUUUUGUAUGUAUUAUAUGAAUAAGGAUCGGCUAACUCCGUGCCAGCAGCCGCGGUAAUACGGAGGAUCCGAGCGUUAUCCGGAUUUAUUGGGUUUAAAGGGAGCGUAGGUGGAUUGUUAAGUCAGUUGUGAAAGUUUGCGGCUCAACCGUAAAAUUGCAGUUGAUACUGUCAGUCUUGAGUACAGUAGAGGUGGGCGGAAUUCGUGGUGUAGCGGUGAAAUGCUUAGAUAUCACGAAGAACUCCGAUUGCGAAGGCAGCUCACUGGACUGCAACUGACACUGAUGCUCGAAAGUGUGGGUAUCAAACAGGAUUAGAUACCCUGGUAGUCCACACAGUAAACGAUGAAUACUCGCUGUUUGCGAUAUACAGUAAGCGGCCAAGCGAAAGCAUUAAGUAUUCCACCUGGGGAGUACGCCGGCAACGGUGAAACUCAAAGGAAUUGACGGGGGCCCGCACAAGCGGAGGAACAUGUGGUUUAAUUCGAUGAUACGCGAGGAACCUUACCCGGGCUUAAAUUGCAGUGGAAUGAUGUGGAAACAUGUCAGUGAGCAAUCACCGCUGUGAAGGUGCUGCAUGGUUGUCGUCAGCUCGUGCCGUGAGGUGUCGGCUUAAGUGCCAUAACGAGCGCAACCCUUAUCUUCAGUUACUAACAGGUCAUGCUGAGGACUCUGGAGAGACUGCCGUCGUAAGAUGUGAGGAAGGUGGGGAUGACGUCAAAUCAGCACGGCCCUUACGUCCGGGGCUACACACGUGUUACAAUGGGGGGUACAGAAGGCAGCUAGCGGGUGACCGUAUGCUAAUCCCAAAAUCCUCUCUCAGUUCGGAUCGAAGUCUGCAACCCGACUUCGUGAAGCUGGAUUCGCUAGUAAUCGCGCAUCAGCCACGGCGCGGUGAAUACGUUCCCGGGCCUUGUACACACCGCCCGUCAAGCCAUGGGAGCCGGGGGUACCUGAAGUACGUAACCGCAAGGAUCGUCCUAGGGUAAAACUGGUGACUGGGGCUAAGUCGUAACAAGGUAGCCGUACCGGAAGGUGCGGCUG
rnacentral:rRNA from 1 species